CAGAAAAUCCCAGAUUUCAAAGCUAAGCGGGAAACAUGGGAAGAAUCUCAAACAGUGCAAGAAAGAAGAGCAGGCGGACAAGGAAUUUCGGAAGAAAUUCAAGUUUGAAGGGGAAAUCCGCGCUCUGACCCGAAUGAUGGUCGAUCCCAACGUGGCUGAGAAGAAAGGGGGAGGGAAGAAUCUGCCGCUUAAACGAGGAGAGAUUCUGGACGUCAUUCAGUUAACGAGUCCCGAGAGAAUACUCUGCCGGAACAACCAGUGGAAGUAUGGCUACGUCCCCAGGGUGGCGCUGCUGCAGCUGUGAGUACAGAUACCUUUCCCUCUUGUUUUCUCUUGGUUAGAAAUUUUUUUCAAGCUCUAAAGAUUAACCAGAAUAGCUGACAAUGGACAAUAGUUAAAUAGAUGUUAAAAGGAACAGUCAGGAGAGUGAAAUGCCGGGAAGCUGCAUGAAAUGUUUUAAAAAUCCCAUAAUAGAAGCUCAAACUAAAUGUAUACCCCAAAUAAAAAACAACAAAAAAACA
rnacentral:lncRNA from 1 species